rnacentral:tRNA from 1 species
GGGGCCGUGGGCUAGCCUGGUCUACGCUACCAGCCUCGGGCGCUGGUGAUCGGCGGUUCAAAUCCGCCCGGCCCCACCA